GAUCCCAAACUUGCUGCUGUUUUUAAUCAAAAUUACACAUGUUAGUAUCCGCAUACCAGUGAGAAUGCCCACCCAAAGAACAACCGAGCAGGCAUCAGGCACGAACUUUCAGCCCAAAACACCUUGCUACGCCACCCCCACACGGGUAAUCAACAGUGACUAAUAUUAAGCAAUGAGCGAACACCUUAAUCAAAGCUCGACUAAGUUAUGAUUUAUAGGGCUGGUAAACCUCGUGCCAGCCACCGCGGUUAUACGAAGAGCCCAAAACAUCAGCCAAUCGGCGUAAAUUGUGACUAGAAUAAUGCCAUACAGCAGGGAUAUAAAUAAAAAUGCAGUCGUAAAACACUUAAUUUAAAUAGAAACCCACCAUCCCUACACCUACGGAAAUUUGAAGCCACGAAACCUAAGAAACAAACUAGGAUUAGAUACCCUACUAUGCUUAGACAUUAAUACGACUCUAAAAACAACCGAGUCCGCCAGAGAAUUACAAGCAACAAGCUUAAAACUCAAAAGACUUGGCGGUGCCCCAUACCAACUUAGAGGAGCCUGUCCUAUAAUCGAUACUCCACGAUAAACCCAACCACCUUUUGCACCCACAGCCUAUAUACCGCCGUCGUAAACCCACCUCACAAGAGCAAAACAGUGGGUAAAACAGUUAACCACUAACACGUCAGGUCAAGGUGUAGCUAAUAAGGUGGAAGAGAUGGGCUACAUUCUUUAAAAUAAAGCACACCAAAAGCCCUAUGAAAUAAGACCCAAAGGCGGAUUUAACAGUAAAAUUAGAAAGAAAACUAUCUUUAAGCUAGCUCUGGGACGCGCACACACCGCCCGUCACCCUCCU
rnacentral:ncRNA from 1 species